rnacentral:rRNA from 1 species
AUGCAAGUCGAGCGGGGAAAGGUAGCUUGCUACUGGACCUAGCGGCGGACGGGUGAGUAAUACUUAGGAAUCUGCCUAUUAGUGGGGGACAACAUUCCGAAAGGGAUGCUAAUACCGCAUACGUCCUACGGGAGAAAGCAGGGGAUCACUUGUGACCUUGCGCUAAUAGAUGAGCCUAAGUCAGAUUAGCUAGUUGGUGGGGUAAAGGCCUACCAAGGCGACGAUCUGUAGCGGGUCUGAGAGGAUGAUCCGCCACACUGGGACUGAGACACGGCCCAGACUCCUACGGGAGGCAGCAGUGGGGAAUAUUGGACAAUGGGGGGAACCCUGAUCCAGCCAUGCCGCGUGUGUGAAGAAGGCCUUUUGGUUGUAAAGCACUUUAAGCGAGGAGGAGGGUACCUUGGUUAAUACCCAAGAGUACUGGACGUUACUCGCAGAAUAAGCACCGGCUAACUCUGUGCCAGCAGCCGCGGUAAUACAGAGGGUGCGAGCGUUAAUCGGAUUUACUGGGCGUAAAGCGUGCGUAGGCGGCUUUUUAAGUCGGAUGUGAAAUCCCCGAGCUUAACUUGGGAAUUGCAUUCGAUACUGGGAAGCUAGAGUAUGGGAGAGGAUGGUAGAAUUCCAGGUGUAGCGGUGAAAUGCGUAGAGAUCUGGAGGAAUACCGAUGGCGAAGGCAGCCAUCUGGCCUAAUACUGACGCUGAGGUACGAAAGCAUGGGGAGCAAACAGGAUUAGAUACCCUGGUAGUCCAUGCCGUAAACGAUGUCUACUAGCCGUUGGGGCCUUUGAGGCUUUAUUGGCGCAGCUAACGCGAUAAGUAGACCGCCUGGGGAGUACGGUCGCAAGACUAAAACUC